rnacentral:rRNA from 1 species
AAGGGCACCACAAGAACGCGUGGAGCAUGUGGCUUAAUUUGACUCAACGCGGGAAAUCUUACCGGGUCCGGACACACUGAGGAUUGACAGGUUCUAUUAAAUGUAACUAUUUUGUUUAUUUUAUGUUAAAUAUGCUAGUCCUUUCAUGAUUAUGUGAUAGGUGGUGCAUGGCCGUUCUUAGUUCGUGGAGUGAUCUGUCUGCUUAAUUGCGUUUCACUAAGGACUUAUUAAAACGUGUAUUGCAUCGCUUUGACCCCUAUUUAUUUAGUGCGUGUCUUAGUUGUUUUGCUAACACAUUUAAGUCCUGAAAGCAACGAACGUGACCGCAACCUCUUGUUGCCUUUUGCACAUCCCUACUUUUAUUAUUUUAUUAUAAUAUUUGUAGAAAAAGAGGCUUUUAAACUAGAGGGACCGCUGUAUUUUCUUUAAACCAGAGGAAGGUUGCGGCAAUAACAGGUCUGUGAUGCCCUUAGAUGUUCCGGGCUGCACACGUGCUACAAUGAUUAUUGCAGUGAGCAUCUCAUUUAAUACACCGCUUGUGCGAUUCCAGUUUCUUAACUGCGAUUUUUGCACGCGGUAAAGCCUGCUUCGAAAGUAAGUGGGUAAUCAAUUAGAAGUAAUGAUUUCCAUUUUCAGCACACUUAUAUACGGCGCUAGAACCCGGAAUAUUCUUUUAUAUUUUUUGUGCGUUCUAGUGUUUCUUCCGUAUGUGCAAUUGUCAAUUCAUGGUGGGGACAGACCAUUGUUAAUUGUUGGUCUCGGUCUUAACUAGGAAUGCCUUGUACGGGUCUUUGGUUCAACAGACCACCCGGAAUACGUCCCUGCCCUUUGUACACACCGCCCGUC